rnacentral:rRNA from 1 species
AACAAACGCUGGCGGCGUGUCUUAAGCAUGCAAGUCGGGCGGCAAGGGCAGCGAUGCCCCUAGAGCGGCGGACUGGUGAGUAACGCGUGGGUGAUCUACCAUUAGGGCAUGGGGAUAGCCAUUAGAAAUAGUGGGUAAUACCGAAUACGCUUGCACAGGUGAAGCUGUGUAAGGAAAGGUGCUACGGCAUCGGCCUAAAGAUGAGCCUGCGUCCCAUUAGCUAGUUGGUGAGGUAAGAGCCCACCAAGGCGAUGAUGGGUAGCCGGCCUGAGAGGGUGUACGGCCACACUGGGACUGAGAUACGGCCCAGACUCCUACGGGAGGCAGCAGCUAAGAAUAUUCCGCAAUGGACGAAAGUCUGACGGAGCGACGCCGCGUGGAUGAAGAAGGCCGAAAGGUUGUAAAAUCCUUUUGCUGGGGAAGAAUAAGUCUGGGAGGGAAUGCCCGGAUGAUGACAUGAACCGGCGAAUAAGCCCCGGCCAACUACGUGCCAGCAGCCGCGGUAACACGUAGGGGGCGAGCGUUGUUCGGAAUUACUGGGCGUAAAGGGCAUGUAGGCGGUUUUGUAAGCUUGGCGUGAAAGUCCACGGCUCAACUGUGGGAUAGCGUUGAGAACUGCGAAGCUUGAGUUAUGGAGAGGGAGCUAGAAUUCCUGGUGUAGGGGUGGAAUCUGUAGAGAUCAGGAAGAAUACCAAUGGCGAAGGCAAGCUCCUGGCCGAUGACUGACGCUGAGGUGCGAAAGUGUGGGGAUCAAACAGGAUUAGAUACCCUGGUAGUCCACACUGUA